rnacentral:rRNA from 1 species
UACGUAGGGUGCAAGCGUUAUCCGGAAUUAUUGGGCGUAAAGAGCUCGUAGGCGGUUUGUCGCGUCUGCUGUGAAACCCGAGGCUCAACCUCGGGUCUGCAGUGGGUACGGGCAGACUGGAGUGCGGUAGGGGAGAAUGGAAUUCCUGGUGUAGCGGUGGAAUGCGCAGAUAGUCAGGAGGAACACCGAUGGCGAAGGCAGUUCUCUG